AUAAUAAAUAUAAUAAAAGAAAGGAAACGAAUUUAAAAAAAAAGAAAAAGAAAAGAAAAGAAAAGAAAAGAAAGGAAAAGAAAAAAAGAAGAUAAUACAUAAAAUUUUAAUUUAAAAAUAAGUGGCUCAUUUGUAGCCACAAACCAAAUAAAUAAAAAAUAAAAAAAAAAAAGAAAAGAAAAGAAAAGAGGAAAGAAGAAGAGACUAGAAGUGAAGAGAGAAACCGAUUUUUGUUUUCUCCAUUUUCUUCUCCUUCCUCUGCCGUGAAACCUCCUUUCUCCAUUUGUUUUUCUACACCAAAAUUGCUUCAAAAUUUCACCUCCAAUUAAUUCCCCAUCUUCUCUCAACACCUUUCCAAAGAAGCAUUUGAAGAAAAGAAGGGAAAUCAAAGAGAAAUUUCAAGGGUGAGGGAGAGUAAAUAGUAACCAAGGGUUUGGAAAUUUGAAAGUGGAAAGGAAAAGUGGAAGUUCCAAAGGGAAAGAAAAGGAAGAGUAGAGAAGUAAAGCUUGUAGAAUAUUUUGGAAAUUCUAAGGUUGUAGAUUCAAAGAGCAGUAGAUCAAGAUCUGCAUCAACCCAGCCAGAGUUACAUCAUCAUCUAUAUUGGGGUAUAUUUUGUAAAUUUUUAUAUGAACUUGAUUUUUGGACAUAUGGCAUGUACAUAAGGUUUUAGAGAUAAAGUUGAAUAUGGUUUGAAACAGAUAUAGUUAAUUAUUUUAAUUUUAGUGUAAAUGUGGAUGGUUAGUAUAAGUUUCUGUGUUGAGAUUAAUGAAAUGUUAUGAAGCGUUUGAUCGAAAUUGAAACUGUUUUGAUGUUGAAAGAAGUUUGGGGGUUAAGGUUGAAAUUGAUAGAAGUGUGUUAUUACUUUUCACAGGUGGAAUUAAGUCCAUAUUUAAGGGGAAACUCUGCCGGAUUUUUGUAAAAAAAAAAAAAAAAAAAAAAAAACAGCCAUGAUUUACAUGAUAUAAAUUAAAGGAAAAAUAAGAGAAUUGUUACAAGAUGUAAUGUCUCCGACUCAGUUAAUUAAUUAACCGGGUAGGGGGGUG